rnacentral:rRNA from 1 species
UACAGAGGUCUCGAGCGUUAGGCGGAAUAACUGGGCUUAAAGCGUGUGUAGGUGGAUGCCUAAGUACCUUGUGAAAUCCCACAGCUUAACUGUGGAACUGCUUGGUAUACUGGGUGUCUUGAGUCACUCAGGGGCGAGCGGAACAAAUGGUGGAGCGGUGAAAUGCGUAGAUAUCAUUUGGAACGCCAAUGGUGAAAACAGCUCGCUGGGGGUGUACUGACACUGAGACACGAAAGCCAGGGGAGCGAGCGGG